CACUGAAGGAGACACAGGAGGAGAGACAGGUGAAAAGCAGUCCCACUUCUGUGCCAGAUAUGACUGCCACCUUGAAUGGAGAAAUUCAGCUGUUUAAAUACAUGACUCUGGAAAUGAGGUUUUGGAUAUUUCUCCUUUUGACAUUGAAUGCAUAGACAUGUAAAUUUACAACUCAAUAAAACCUGGGCAGAAUGCAUGGCACAGCUCUUUGAGGAGUCUGCAAUGUAAACAGCAACAGGAGGAUUGAAAUAGAGCACCAUAAAUCAAAGUAUCUCCAACCUAGUGAUGAUUCAUCGAUCAACUGUGCACUUCAAGUAUUUCAGAGCAAGUGUCCUCUCAUUAGGGAUCUCUCCUGUGAAAGCAGAAAUGAUGGACGCUUGGCAAACAGUUUAAAUUUGCUUCUGCUCUUGCUUCUGAAAUUGUCUUUGAUGCCAAGUUUUUAAAAGUGGAUGCAGCUAUCCCUGGAUAUAGAACUGACCUCAGAGUACACAAGGGACAGAUGGAAGUACCAGGAAGUUAUCUCAACUUCGGGGUAAUCCUCAAGCAAUGAGAGGUGUAAGACCUCUGCUCUGGGAUACAGUUCUACUGAGCAGGAAGUGAUUCAGAACACUAUUGUGUCUAAGUCUGUCUACAAUGGUAAUUUGUUCUUCCAAUUAAUUGGGACAGCCAGUUAGCACUGGCAUGAAUCAGCACUACAGUUAAGAAGCUUUCCAUGAGGAAACAUUUUUUUUUAAGUCUGAGAUUAUGUGG